ACGGGAGGCAGCAGUGGGGAAUAUUGCACAAUGGGCGCAAGCCUGAUGCAGCGAUGCCGCGUGAGGGAAGAAGGUUUUCGGAUUGUAAACCUCUGUCAACAGGGACGAAAAUGACGGUACCUGAGAAGGAAGCUCCGGCUAACUACGUGCCAGCAGCCGCGGCAAUACGUAGGGAGCAAGCGUAAUCCGGAAUUACUGGGUGUAAAGGGAGUGUGGGCGGGACUGUAAGUCAGAUGUGAAAUAUGCCGACUCAACUGGCAGACUGCAUUUGAAACUGCGGUUCUUGAGUGAAGUAGAGGUAAGCGGAAUUCCUAGUGUAGCGGUGAAAUGCGUAGAUAUUAGGAGGAACAUCAGUGGCGAAGGCGGCUUACUGGGCUUUAACUGACGCUGAGGCUCGAAAGCGUGGGGAGCAAACAGGAUUAGAUACCCUGGUA
rnacentral:rRNA from 1 species